rnacentral:rRNA from 1 species
CAGCCCUAAACGAUGCGCGUUAGGUGUAUCGGUGACCACGAGUCACCGAGGUGCCGAAGGGAAACCGUGAAACGUGCCGCCUGGGAAGUACGGUCGCAAGGCUGAAACUUAAAGGAAUUGGCGGGGGAGGCACCACAACGGGUGGAGCCUGCGGUUUAAUUGGACUCAACGCCGGGAAGCUCACCGGAUAAGACAGCGGAAUGAUUGCCGGGCUGAAGACCCUGCAUGACCAGCUGAGAGGAGGUGCAUGGCGUAGACGUCU